rnacentral:rRNA from 1 species
GGAUGAACGCUAGCGAUAGGCUUACCCCAUGCAAGUCGAGGGGCAGCAUGGUCUUAGCUUGCUAAGACUGAUGGCGACCGGCGCACGGGUGCGUAACGCGUAUGCAACUUGCCUCACAGAGGGGGAUAACCCGUCGAAAGACGGACUAAUACCGCGUACACUCUAUUUUGGGCAUCCAAGGUAGAGGAAAUGAAAUUCGCUGUGAGAUAGGCAUGCGUCCCAUUAGCUAGUUGGUGAGGUAACGGCUCACCAAGGCGACGAUGGGUAGGGGAACUGAGAGGUUGAACCCCCACACUGGUACUGAGACACGGACCAGACUCCUACGGGAGGCAGCAGUGAGGAAUAUUGGUCAAUGGGCGAGGGCCUGAACCAGCCAAGUCGCGUGAAGGAGGACUGUCUUAUGGAUUGUAAACUUCUUUUGUAGGGGAAUAAAGAGGGGCACGUGUGCCCCAGUGAAUGUACCCUACGAAUAAGCAUCGGCUAACUCCGUG